UACAGGAGGUCUCAAGCGUUUGUUCGGAUUCAUUGGGCGUAAAGGGUGCGUAGGCGGCGCGGUAAGUCGGGUGUGAAAUCUUGGAGCUUAACUCCGAAACUGCAUUCGAUACUGCCGUGCUUGAGGACUGGAAAGGAGACUGGAAUUUACGGUGUAGCGGUGAAAUGCGUAGAUAUCGUAAGGAAGACCAGUGGCGAAGGCGGGUC
rnacentral:rRNA from 1 species